GCCGGGUGUGGUGGUGGGCGCCUGUGGUCCCAGCUACUUGGGAGGCAGAGGCAGGAGACUCGCUUGAGCCCAGGAGUUGGAGGUUGCUGUGAGCUGUAAUGCCACGACACUCUACCCAGGGGACAGCUGGAGGCUCUGGCUCAAAAAAAAAAAAAAAAGAAGGGUAGUGCUGGGGAAAGAAUCCCAGAUAUCACUCACAGGAACAAAACAAACUACAGCUGGAGGAGGAUCUUUUUUUUUUUUUUUUUUUUGAGAAAGAUGUCGCCCUGGGUAGAGUGCUGUGGCAUCACAGCUCAUAGCAACCUCCAGCUCCUGGGCUUAAGUGAUUCUCCUGCCUCUG
rnacentral:SRP_RNA from 1 species